rnacentral:rRNA from 1 species
AAUAAGCGGAGGAAAAGAAACUAACAAGGAUUCCCCUAGUAACGGCGAGUGAAGCGGGAAGAGCUCAAAUUUGUAAUCUGGCACUUUCAGUGUCCGAGUUGUAAUCUCGAGAAGUGUUUUCCGCGCCGGACCGCAUACAAGUCUGUUGGAAUACAGCGUCAUAGUGGUGAGAACCCCGUAACUGAUGCGGAUGCCCGGUGCUUUGUGAUACACUUUCGAAGAGUCGAGUUGUUUGGGAAUGCAGCUCAAAUUGGGUGGUAAAUUCCAUCUAAAGCUAAAUAUUGGCGAGAGACCGAUAGCGAACAAGUACCGUGAGGGAAAGAUGAAAAGCACUUUGGAAAGAGAGUUAACAGUACGUGAAAUUGUUGGAAGGGAAACGAUUGAAGUCAGACUUGUUAUCUGGAGUUCAGCCUUUCGGUGUACUCUCCAGUUUACAGGCCAGCAUCAGUUUUCGGGGCGGGAAAAUCGUAAUUAGAAGGUAGCAGCCUAGCUGUGUUAUAGCUCUUUACUGGAUUCCGCUUUGGGGACUGAGGAACGCAGUGUGCUUUUAGCAAUACCCUCGGGUAUUUCACACUUAGGAUACUGGUGGAAUGGCU